rnacentral:rRNA from 1 species
GUCUACGGCCAUACCACCCUGAACGCGCCUGAUCUCGUCUGAUCUCGGAAGCUAAGCAGGGUCGGGCCUGGUUAGUACUUGGAUGGGAGAAAUAAUUAACAUGCAUCACUGUAUAUG